AUGAGGAGCAGCAAAAGAGCAAGAAGGAACAGGAGAAUAGGGAGGAGGGGGUGUGGAAGGAACAGAAGAAGGAACAGGAGAGCGUGGAGGAGAAUGAGGAGCAGCAAAAGAGCAAGAGGGAACAGGAGAAUAGGGAGGAGGGGGUGUGGAAGGAACAGAAGAAGGAACAGGAGAGCGUGGAGGAGAAUAGGGAGGAGGAGGUGUGGAAAGAAUAGCAGAAGGAACAGGAAAGCGUGGAGGAGAAUGAGGAGGAAAGAGAUCAGUGUAAAGAGGAAGUUGUGUGUAAGAAGGAACAGGAAAGCGUGGAGGAGAAUGAGGAGGAAAGAGAUCAGUGUAAAGAGGAAGUUGUGUGUAAGAAGGCAGGUCAAAGCGGGGUACCUCAAUGCCAGAGGUGGGGGGGCCAACUUCCAGAACGUGGGAAGUGGCUCGCUCAAAGCGAGUCCUCCAACGCCUAGGUGGACGACCGUGCACAGCAACUGUGUGUGAAGGUCAGAGAACAGACAUUUGGAACUCACUUCAUCUUCUUCAUUCAAACUACAACAGGAGGCCUGUAACACUAAGCACCUAAACUGCAUUCAUGCUCACAUUAGCUGCACUAACCACCCUGCAUCACAUGCAUCAUCUACUAGUCAGGUUUCUACCAUGUUUUCCCACAUGACAGGAAAUGCUGCACUUAGUACAACAGUAUCAAUAGUUUUUAGCUCUUUAAAAGUACAAACUUAGACGUCUUCUUCACACGUGUUUGUCUCAUUGAAACGAGACAUAUUCUCUACACUUGUCUGACAAACAAACACAUUUUUGCCGCAAAUGGAAAAUAUAGCGCUUGGUAAAAAAAGUUUAGCUUAGCAAGCUAACACGGGCACCUUGUUGCCAUGGUGAUUAAGAAUGGGCGCCGAGUCGCCAUCUUUAUUUUUAUUUUUACCAAACCUCCAACGAUAAAUGGGGAAGAAUUAUGCCAAAGCAAAGCAAAAUAUCAACGCUUCCACCUUUCUUAACAUAUUCAACUGCUAUUACACCUAGCAUUUAACCUUUCAGUCAGUGUUUACAUCGUUGACCGUCAGACUGUACACACUUAAGACACUAGGAGGAGCCGCUUACCUUCCCCCUCCGGCUGCCACCGCUGUCUGCCUCCGCGGCUCCACCGUCUGAACCGUGUCCAGAGCUCCCAGAUCCUCGGGGGCAAGUGGCGCUCCAUUGCUCUUGCAAAACAAAUUAAUAUACUCACAGAUUUUCUUUUGCUGUCAAUGUCUGCAAGACCAGAGGCGAAUGUGUAAAAUCACAUUGCUGCGCUUCUUUUAUAAAGUCAGCGGCGGUUACCAUGGUUUUGACGCACGUGCACGGACGUGCGUGACAACGCAAAGGGGACACAGUGGCAGCCAUCACACGCAGCUAAGCGUUCUCUGCUAGCCUAAACAUGGUCAGAUUUUGUUUGCAGAUAAAAUGAUUCUCCGUGGUCUGUUUUCUUCGUGUCAAAAAUAUAUCCGCUUGGUUUCGCCGCUCCAACUGUUGUAUAUUAUUGUAAAGUUUUUAUCCAAUCAUAUUUCAUCAGACUUGUGUAGCCAGGCGAUAACCAAUCAGAUAACCAAUCAGAACUCGAGUCUGCGACACCGAUUCCAACUAUGAGGCACUCUUAGUUCUGAUUGGUCAGAAACCAAGUCAAUCUUAUUUUAUUUCUGGUUUCUCCCUACAUAAUAAUUUACCACCAAGGACACCACUCUCAUUGAAAGACUCGAGGACAGAGAGGGUAACACUACAAUAUCAAUGGUUAUCGCUGUCGUCCUUAUCUAAAUCAGCCAGCGCUUCUACACGUUGCAGGAGUAGUAUUGUGUUGCUGCCUUAAGGAACUGCCCUCACGUCACCAUUGAAAUCCACGUCUGGGACUGCAGUGCAGGUCCGGUUUGCCACCGUGUAUCCAGCCACGUCCGGAUAUCUGUGUCCACUCUGCUAUAUUAACGGUUGAUCCACGCAUUCGCAGUUGGUGGUCUGCAGCCGUCUCUCACGUGGCUAGGCUGUUAGGUCAACGGGCUAAAGCUAGCUAGCUGACGCGGAGUAAGAUCCAGUUUUCUGAUCAAACCUUCUCCUUCCAGUGUUGUGUCGAAUGUAGGUAAAGUGGCCACCAACACACCAAAAGAUAGAGACACCUCUAUAACGCACGUUUGUUUUAGAAAUCCACAAACAAGAAGCGGUGCACCGAUGUUGUUAGAUUGUCUAUCGCCAUCUUGUCAUUACAAAGGUUCACAGCAGACUACAAAACUCAUUCAACUUAAUAUUUAUAACCCCCAAGAAUUUAGGUAAAUGGGCUCCUAUUUUAACUGAUGUCUUAUCAUAUUAACUACACAGUAUAUUCACUAAAUACUAUUUCAGUAAUUAAUAAUAAGAAUUUUGUAGAUCCAUUUUGUGUUUCUGUCUAUACCUCCAUACAGCAGCUUUGUAUCUGCUUGUAUUUUUACAAAUAAAAAACAGUAAAUCUGACUGCUAUGGUAAAAA
rnacentral:lncRNA from 1 species